rnacentral:tRNA from 6 species
CUGAUAUGGCUCAGUUGGUAGAGCGCACCCUUGGUAAGGGUGAGGUCCCCAGUUCGACUCUGGGUAUCAGCACCA